GAUGCAUAGCCGAGUUGAGAGACUGAUCGGCCACAUUGGGACUGAGACACGGCCCAAACUCCUACGGGAGGCAGCAGUAGGGAAUCUUCCACAAUGGACGAAAGUCUGAUGGAGCAACGCCGCGUGAGUGAAGAAGGGUUUCGGCUCGUAAAGCUCUGUUGGUAGUGAAGAAAGAUAGAGGUAGUAACUGGCCUUUAUUUGACGGUAAUUACUUAGAAAGUCACGGCUAACUACGUGCCAGCAGCCGCGGUAAUACGUAGGUGGCAAGCGUUGUCCGGAUUUAUUGGGCGUAAAGCGAGUGCAGGCGGUUCAAUAAGUCUGAUGUGAAAGCCUUCGGCUCAACCGGAGAAUUGCAUCAGAAACUGUUGAACUUGAGUGCAGAAGAGGAGAGUGGAACUCCAUGUGUAGCGGUGGAAUGCGUAGAUAUAUGGAAGAACACCAGUGGCGAAGGCGGCUCUCUGGUCUGCAACUGACGCUGAGGCUCGAAAGCAUGGGUAGCGAACAGGAUUAGAUACCCUGGUAGUCCAUGCCGUAAACGAUGAGUGCUAAGUGUUGGGAGGUUUCCGC
rnacentral:rRNA from 1 species